rnacentral:rRNA from 1 species
AGAACGAACGCUGGCGGCAGGCCUAACACAUGCAAGUCGAACGCCCCGCAAGGGGAGUGGCAGACGGGUGAGUAACGCGUGGGAACGUGCCCUUCGGUUCGGAAUAACUCAGGGAAACUUGAGCUAAUACCGGAUACGUCCGUAAGGAGAAAGAUUUAUCGCCGAAGGAUCGGCCCGCGUCGGAUUAGCUAGUUGGUGAGGUAACGGCCCACAAGGCGACGAUCCGUAGCUGGUCUGAGAGGAUGAUCAGCCACACUGGGACUGAGACACGGCCCAGACUCCUACGGGAGGCAGCAGUGGGGAAUAUUGGACAAUGGGCGCAAGCCUGAUCCAGCCAUGCCGCGUGAGUGAAGAAGGCCUUAGGGUUGUAAAGCUCUUUCAGCGGGAAGAUAAUGACGGUACCCGCAGAAGAAGCCCGGCUAACUCGCGCCAGCAGCCGC